rnacentral:rRNA from 1 species
CGCGUGCCUAAUACAUGCAAGUCGAACGAGUUCUGAUUAUUGAAAGGUGCUUGCAUCUUGAUUUAAUUUUGAACGAGUGGCGGACGGGUGAGUAACACGUGGGUAACCUGCCCUUAAGUGGGGGAUAACAUUUGGAAACAGAUGCUAAUACCGCAUAAAUCCAAGAACCGCAUGGUUCUUGGCUGAAAGAUGGCGUAAGCUAUCGCUUUUGGAUGGACCCGCGGCGUAUUAGCUAGUUGGUGAGGUAACGGCUCACCAAGGCAAUGAUACGUAGCCGAACUGAGAGGUUGAUCGGCCACAUUGGGACUGAGACACGGCCCAAACUCCUACGGGAGGCAGCAGUAGGGAAUCUUCCACAAUGGACGCAAGUCUGAUGGAGCAACGCCGCGUGAGUGAAGAAGGCUUUCGGGUCGUAAAACUCUGUUGUUGGAGAAGAAUGGUCGGCAGAGUAACUGUUGUCGGCGUGACGGUAUCCAACCAGAAAGCCACGGCUAACUACGUGCCAGCAGCCGCGGUAAUACGUAGGUGGCAAGCGUUAUCCGGAUUUAUUGGGCGUAAAGCGAGCGCAGGCGGUUUUUUAAGUCUGAUGUGAAAGCCCUCGGCUUAACCGAGGAAGUGCAUCGGAAACUGGGAAACUUGAGUGCAGAAGAGGACAGUGGAACUCCAUGUGUAGCGGUGAAAUGCGUAGAUAUAUGGAAGAACACCAGUGGCGAAGGCGGCUGUCUGGUCUGUAACUGACGCUGAGGCUCGAAAGCAUGGGUAGCGAACAGGAUUAGAUACCCUGGUAGUCCAUGCCGUAAACGAUGAAUGCUAGGUGUUGGAGGGUUUCCGCCCUUCAGUGCCGCAGCUAACGCAUUAAGCAUUCCGCCUGGGGAGUACGACCGCAAGGUUGAAACUCAAAGGAAUUGACGGGGGCCCGCACAAGCGGUGGAGCAUGUGGUUUAAUUCGAAGCAACGCGAAGAACCUUACCAGGUCUUGACAUCUUUUGAUCACCUGAGAGAUCAGGUUUCCCCUUCGGGGGCAAAAUGACAGGUGGUGCAUGGUUGUCGUCAGCUCGUGUCGUGAGAUGUUGGGUUAAGUCCCGCAACGAGCGCAACCCUUAUGACUAGUUGCCAGCAUUUAGUUGGGCACUCUAGUAAGACUGCCGGUGACAAACCGGAGGAAGGUGGGGAUGACGUCAAAUCAUCAUGCCCCUUAUGACCUGGGCUACACACGUGCUACAAUGGAUGGUACAACGAGUUGCGAGACCGCGAGGUCAAGCUAAUCUCUUAAAGCCAUUCUCAGUUCGGACUGUAGGCUGCAACUCGCCUACACGAAGUCGGAAUCGCUAGUAAUCGCGGAUCAGCACGCCGCGGUGAAUACGUUCCCGGGCCUUGUACACACCGCCCGUCACACCAUGAGAGUUUGUAACACCCGAAGCCGGUGGCGUAACCCUUUUAGGGAGCGAGCCGU